rnacentral:rRNA from 1 species
UCGAGAAUUUUUCUCAAUGGGGGAAACCCUGAAGGAGCGACGCCGCGUGGAGGAUGAAGGUCUUCGGGUUGUAAACUCCUGUCAUUUGGGAACAAGUCGUACGUAGUUACUAUACGUGCGUUGAUAGUACCAGAAGAGGAAGAGACGGCUAACUCUGUGCCAGCAGCCGCGGUAAUACAGAGGUCUCAAGCGUUGUUCGGAUUCAUUGGGCGUAAAGGGUGCGUAGGUGGCGCCGUAAGUCAGGUGUGAAAUUUCGGAGCUUAACUCCGAAACUGCAUUUGAUACUGCGGUGCUUGAGGACUGGAGAGGAGACUGGAAUUUACGGUGUAGCAGUGAAAUGCGUAGAGAUCGUAAGGAAGACCAGUGGCGAAGGCGGGUCUCUGGACAGUUCCUGACACUGAGGCACGAAGGCCAGGGGAGCAAACGGGAUUAGAUACCCCUGUAGUCC